UACAGAGGUCUCAAGCGUUGUUCGGAUUCAUUGGGCGUAAAGGGUGCGUAGGUGGCAUGGUAAGUCGGAUGUGAAAUCCCGGGGCUCAACCCCGGAACUGCAUUCGAUACUGCUGCGCUAGAGUACUGGAGAGGAGAUUGGAAUUUACGGUGUAGCAGUGAAAUGCGUAGAUAUCGUAAGGAAGACCAGUGGCGAAGGCGGAUCUCUGGACAGUUACUGACACUGAGGCACGAAGGCCAGGGGGAGCAAACGGG
rnacentral:rRNA from 1 species